CACGCCGUAAACGAUGAGUGCUAGGUGUCGGGGGUCAAACCUCGGUGCCGGAGCUAACGCAUUAAGCACUCCGCCUGGGGAGUACGUACGCAAGUAUGAAACUCAAAGGAAUUGACGGGGACCCGCACAAGCAGCGGAGCAUGUGGUUUAAUUCGAAGCAACGCGAAGAACCUUACCAGGACUUGACAUGGUAUUGACCGGUAUAGAGAUAUACCUUUCCCUUCGGGGACAAUACACACAGGUGG
rnacentral:rRNA from 1 species